rnacentral:misc_RNA from 1 species
UCUCCGUUGGUGAACCAGCGGAGGGAUCAUUAUCGAGUUUAUAACUCCCAAACCCUAUGUGAACUUACCACUCGUUGCUUCGGCGCGCGCUUCGGCGCCGCCGAGGACACUUAAACUCUUUGUUUUCAUAAGCAUCUCUGAGUGGCCGAAAGGCAAAAUACAAAUGAAUCAAAACUUUCAACAACGGAUCUCUUGGUUCUG